rnacentral:rRNA from 1 species
GCUGUGCUAAGGUAGCAUAAUAACCCGCUUUUUAAUUAAAAGAUAGAAUAAAAGGACAAACGACUUAAUUAUUUUUUAACUUUUAAAUAAUAAACUUCAUUAAAGUGUUAAAAAGCAUUUAUAACCAAGAAAGACGACAAGACCCUAUAGAACUUUUAACUUCUCAGUUUUGCUGGGGCAGCAUAAAAUUAUAACUUUUCUAAAACAAACAAUCAAAAUACAGACCUGAUAAAUAUCAAAUACUAAAACAAGCUACCUUAGGGAUAACAGCGCAAUCUUGCUCCAAAGAACUAAUAAAAAGCAAGGAUUACGACCUCGAUGUUGAAUUAAUUUUAACUCCAUUUAGUAAAAAAGAUAAGAGCAAGUCUGUUCGACUUUUAAAAAAUUACAUGAUUUGAGUUCAGACCGGUGUAAACCAGGUCAGAUUUUAUCCUCUUUACUUUAAUUACAGUACGAAAGGACCUAAUUAUAUAUUACA